UUUGUUAUUUUUGGACCAAAAUGUAUUUUCGAUGCUUCAACACAUUUUAACUGACCCACUGAUGUCAAAUGGCUACUUUGAUGAUGUUUUUUUAUUACCUCUCUGUUCCUGGACAGUAUACUGUGCAUAGAUUUUCAAUGGAGGGUCAGAAAGCUCUCAGACUAAAUCUAAAAUAUCUUAAACUGUGUUUCGAAGAUGAACGGAGGUCUUACCCUCAUGUCGUUCCAAACUCGUGAGUCAUUAAUUACAUUAUUUUCAUUUUUGGGUGAACUCUCCCUUUAAUUACAUGCUCAUACUUUAAUUAUGCCUGAUAAGAAUUUGUAAUCUUUGUGUUUAAACAUUUUUCGAAUUUUAAUCCUUGUUUUUAAAUGGCCAUGACAGUGACAAAAAGGAAGCAGCCUUCUCUAGCCCACCCAAGUUUCCAUCAAAGGAGCAAGCCUACCCAUCCCACAUCAUUGUAGAGUGAAGAGACUGCGGUUAAUAUUCAGAAAGAGGCGCCGAGAACUGAAGGCUUUCCUGACUUGACACCGAAUAAUAACGAAGGCCUGUGUGCUUUGCAGCAGCCUCCACGUCACCCUCUUCCAGGGCUCCGUCAGAGGACUAACGAUAUGCCACAAGAUGAUUGGCAGCAAGACACACCCAGUGAUAAAGGGAUGUGCUCUCCUUAAAUCACAGCCUAUUCAUCAGGUACUCCUGAGUGCUGUGUUAAGAAAUCCUGCCUACAAAGUUCCAAUGAGGCUGAUAUAAAGAUGACUGUGAGAAACUGGCUGCGGCUGUCUGAGCAGAGACAGGAAUGGGGGCGGCAAAGGCGGGACAAGCAAGCAUCUUAAGUGAAAUAAUUGAUUGGACUGAUUCUGGAGUAUGACUUAUUCUGGAGGGAAUUUCUUAUUUUUGUUGCAGUUUGCUAUGGGACGGUUUCAAGGACAGGGAUUAGACUAGUUCUAGACUAAAAUAAAUGUAAGAGCUGUCCAAACUGAAAACAACUUGCACUGACAUAUCAUAAAAUACAUCAGUGUCUUUUGUGAUGCUUCAAAAUGCACACAAGUAAUGUUUUUAUUAAGACAUGUUAUUAAAACUAGUUAUAUUUCAGAAUUAAACUAAGGCCUAGUCCCGGUUUAGGAUAAUCCCUGUCCGGGAAACCACCCCAAAGUGUAAUUUGUGGAGUGUUAAAAUAAAUGAAACUGCCUUUGCAAAAACAAAGUAAAAAAAAAUGUCCA